rnacentral:rRNA from 1 species
UGCCCACUGAUUUAAUUAUUAAAGGGCUGCAGUAUUUUGACUGUACAAAGGUAGCAUAAUCAUUAGUCAUUUAAUUGAUGACUUGUAUGAAAGAUUGGAUGAAAUAUAGACUGUCUUUAAAUUAAUAUUUAGAAUUUAAUUUUUAAGUUAAAAAGCUUAAAUAAAUUAAAAAGACGAGAAGACCCUAUAGAGUUUUAUUUUUUAUUUAAAAUUUAUAUUUUUAUAAAUUUAUUAAUUAAAUUUUGAUAAAUAAUUUUGUUGGGGUGAUGAAAAAAUUUAAUUAACUUUUUUUUUUUUUUACAUAAAUAAGUGAGUAGAUGAUCCAAUAUUAUUGAUUAUAAGAAAAAAUUACCUUAGGGAUAACAGCGUAAUUUUAUUUUUUAGUUCAUAUAAUAAAUAGAGUUUGCGACCUCGAUGUUGGAUUAAGAUAAAAUUUAAAUGCAGAAGUUUAAAAUUUUGA